rnacentral:rRNA from 1 species
CAUGUGGUUUAAUUCGAUGAUACGCGAAGAACUUACCUGGGUUUGACAUAUAGGUUGUAGGGAACUGAAAAGGGACCGACCUUCGGGAGCCUAUACAGGUGUUGCAUGGCUGUCGUCAGCUCGUGUCGUGAGAUGUUCGGUUAAGUCCGCUAACGAGCGCAACCCUCGUCGUAUGUUAUAUGUGUCAUACGAGACUGCCGGUAAAAGCCGGAGGAAGGUGAGGAUGAUGUCAAGUCAGCAUGACCUUUAUAUCCAGGGCUACACACACGCUACAAUGGUCUGUACAAUGGGUAGCCAAGCCGCGAGGCGGAGCCAAUCCUGAAAGCAGGCCUCAGUUCAGAUUGCAGUCUGCAACUCGACUGCAUGAAGCCGGAGUUGCUAGUAACCGCAGGUCAGCAAUACUGCGGUGAAUACGUUCCCGGGUCUU